rnacentral:rRNA from 1 species
UACAGAGGUGGCAAGCGUUGUUCGGAAUUACUGGGCGUAAAGGGCGCGUAGGCGGUCUUUUAAGUCUUGUGUGAAAUCCCUCGGCUCAACUGAGGAACUGCACGGGAUACUGGAAGACUUGAGUUCGGGAGAGGGAAGCGGAAUUCCGGGUGUAGCGGUGAAAUGCGUAGAUAUCCGGAGGAACACCGGUGGCGAAGGCGGCUUCCUGGACCGAUUACUGACGCUGAGGCGCGAAAGCCAGGGGAGCGAACGGG